UCCUGAUGGCUCAGAUGAUAAAGAAUCUGCCUGCAAUGCAGAAGACCUAGGUUUGAUCCCUGGGUCAGGAA
rnacentral:tRNA from 1 species